UUUUUAUUAUUAUGAUGAAUUCGAUAUAUUUAUUUCUUUUUAUAUAUAAAUUCGUAAUAAAAUAUGAUUGGCUAAUAUCAUUCAUUUGACUGUAUUAAAAUCAACCAAUCAGAAUCGACUUACUUCGCGCUGUUUUCGUUACCGUCAGAUGUUUCUUAUCUUAAAAAUCUACACAAUUUUUCGCUCAUAGCAUUUGUGACUUCAGCGACACAUGUGGACAAAAUAUGAACUACAAAUACAAUAGAAAAACCACUGCUUCCAUCACUAUGCACUUAUUGCAUCGAUGUAUAAGCUCGUUAGAUUAUAACCCUUUUCGUGAAUAAUCUAACAAUCGAUUUACAAUAUAUGGAAAGAAAAGAUUUUGGAAACGUAUAAAGAUAUGCAGCUAUUCGUUCGAUAAUACGUGCGAUAUAACAUAUAACUUGCGUAUAAUUUAGAUUUAGAUUUUAAUAUAUCAUAAGUACUACCGGAGUAUCAAAGUCAGCUUGAUUUUUUAUUGAAAGAAGACCCAUCCAAAAUCUAAAAUCGAAGAAUCCUUCUCAAGGAUUCCACACAAAAGUUGUACAUGUUGCUCAGGACAAAAGCUCACUAUUGUUUAAAUAUUACUUUUAAAAGAUAACUCACCCAAUAAUCCUCAAAAUUAUAUUACACAAGACCAACAACUUUCAGAUGAAAAUUUAACUCUUUUUAAAUAUUAAAUAAAAUUUUAAUAUUAAAACGUU